ACUGGAUUGCUUCCCCGCAACUGGGGUUUA
rnacentral:sRNA from 1 species